CACAUAUGAAUAUAUGAGCCUACUUCCUGGCAAUCUCUCUAACAUUGGUUCACAUGUACCACACUGAACCCACUGCAACAUCACUGUGGUGUGUACAUGAUCCAGUUGAGAUGAGAACGCAUCAGUUCUAUUGGAUCAUCACCGUGUCAUCCAUGUCACCUCUACUGCUCCAAGAACCUGAACAUUGCCUGUUGCGUCUUGUGAUGUCACAACAGGGUCCCUGAACGACUAACAAAGAGGAGGAGAAAUUGACCUCACAGAUACAACUGUCAUGGCAAGUCAUCCCCACAAAGCGACAGGAGACAUCUUCCUACAUUAAGAUCACAAGGAAAAUGGCAAAGGGCAAUUUAAAAAAAACAGAACACAUAAUUCUCAUGCAAAAGAGGAGCAGAGAGGGGUGAGCACAUCUCUGGUGUUUGUGUGGAGCCAGCCACCUGAGCUAACUUGCUAGACUGAGUUUUCCAAAAUAUUCCCUUCAAACGGCAGCCCCAGCGGCCAAGCACAAAACCAGGACAGUGAAACUGAACAGAAGAAGGAGUGUUGUUUGCUUUAAUGAAUGUGCUUGGCAAUUCUUGACAGACCUACCAGCAGGUGUCCUGUUGAGCUUUUCAAUUUCCAUUUUACUACGGAGCAUGCUUUUGGCACACAGAACGGAUCAAGCACCAGAACACAUGCAGGUAUGCGGAGCACAUCUACAGCUAAUAACAUGAUUGCAAAGAAGAGGAGAAAAGACACAUUUCACUGAUUUGUCCUGAACUGGCCUCCUUCCAUUCGCAGCCUAAACAGGACACACUGGGAGGUGGCUGAAAGGGGGAAAGAGUUCUCUCAUAUUGGAUACAGGAGAUGUCACAAUGUCCCUUCUUGUUGUCUCUUUGAGGGGUGCUGCAGAGAUACAGUUGGCGAGAACAUGAAAGAAAACCUUGGUGGCUCCCUUCUCACUAUGCAAGCUAGUCUGGCCCCCUCUUUCAACUCUUUUCACCAGGAGGCAAAGACUGUUUUAUGUAAACAGCCCUUCAGUUUCUAACUGGGCAUGAGAGGUCUUUAGCUCUUCACCCAAGGAUCAGCACUGAUUCUCCCAUAACAACUUGCGCAAAAACAGUUACAAUGAAAACCCAAAGCAAUACAUGGAAGAGGGGAAUGUCUACAAGUUGUCUGCAGUAUCCAGCACGGCACUUUUCACUGCUGUGUAAGGAGUGUCUGGUGUUCUUAACGAGUAACAAACUAUCUUGCAGCAUAACACACACAUUGGCUUAACAGUAAGGAACGCCGAGUUCAAUGGGAGUUACUCCCAUGGCAGUGUGCACUGAACACAUAAUUGAAAUUGUCUAGGAAGGGCUCACUACUACAAUUUGUGACUUCUGCGUACUAUAGGAUUGGAUCAAUCUAAUGAAACCACCAGAAUAAAGAGGCUGCCACAUGGAGAAUUUAGGCAAAACAAAAAUGCCAACUCUGUUUUUUUUGAGUCUGUGAUCUUAUCUUUUGCACACUGCAUGUCUCUUUCUCUCUAAUGCACAGAGAUGUGGAAAAAGACCAUGUCUUGGUAAUAAUGUUUCAAUAAUGCUCUUAAAGAAAAACAAAACAAGGUAAUAGUGA